GGAUGGUUGGCAGAGCGGCCGAUUGCACUCGCCUUGAAAGCGAGCGUGCCGAGAGGCACCGGGGGUUCAAAUCCCUCACCAUCCG
rnacentral:tRNA from 1 species